AUGGCAUCCUCCUCUUCCUUCCUUCUCAUUGCUGCACUUCUUGCGUUGGUCUCAUGGCAGGCCACUGCUUCUGAUCCUAGCCCACUCCAGGACUUUUGUGUCGCCGACAUGAAUUCACCAGUCCGUGUCAAUGGGUUUGUUUGCAAGAACCCGUUGGAGGUCAAUGCAGAUGACUUCUUCAAGGCGGCCAACCUCGACAAGCCUAGGGUGCCCAACAAGGUUGGAUCCAACGUCACUUUGAUCAACGUCAUGCAGAUUGCUGGACUCAACACCCUCGGCAUCUCAAUUGCACGCAUCGACUAUGGUCCCUUGGGUCAAAACCCACCACACACGCACCCUCGCGCCACUGAGAUCCUCACGGUGCUCGAGGGGACACUGUAUGUUGGAUUUGUCACAUCCAACCAGCCCGCCCCCAACAGAAACAAGUUCCUCUCCAAGGUGCUCAACAAAGGUGAUGUGUUUGUCUUCCCCGUGGGGCUCAUCCACUUCCAAUUCAACCCCAGCCCCCACCAGCCCGCUGUUGCAAUUGCCGCGCUAAGCAGCCAGAACCCAGGGGCUAUCACAAUUGCCAAUGCAGUGUUUGGGUCAGACCCACCAAUAUCAGAUGAUGUUCUUGCCAAGGCAUUUCAGGUGGAAAAGAAUACAAUUGACUAUCUCCAGGCUCAGUUCUGGGAGAACAACCACUACUAA
rnacentral:rRNA from 1 species